rnacentral:tRNA from 1 species
GGGGAUAUGGCGAAACUGGUAGACGCGCAGGCUUGAGGUGCUUGUGGAGAAAUCCGUGCAAGUUCAAAUCUUGUUAUCCCCACCA